AUUUCUAAUAGCUACUACAAACUAACAAACUACUGGCUUGCAUGAGUGUUACAUAUCCCAGUCAGCCAUCUAGUCACUACGUAGAUAAGACUCUCUCCACACAGUCAGGCAGUCAGUAGAAGAUCAGUUUCCGCCCCUCCUUUCUCAAAACAUCAGAUCAGGAGAUUCUUGCAAUGGGAGGGGUGAAAGUAUCAACAACACACACACACACACACACACACAACACAACAUACCCUCCAACAUUUCUCUGAUGAAAAUAGGGAUGUCCUAUUCCAUAAAAUAAAAAUAGUAAUAAUUUUAUUCUUUAUACCCCGCCUGACUGGUUGCCUCAGCCACCCUAGGCUGCUUCCAACAUACAGUGGUACCUCGGGUUAAGUACUUAAUUCGUUCUGGAGGUCCGUUCUUAACCUGAAACUGUUCUUAACCUGAAGCACCACUUUAGCUAAUGGGGCCUCCCGCUGCCGCCACACAAUUUCUGUUCUCAUCCUGAAGCAAAGUUCUUAACCCUAGGUACUAUUUCUGGGUUACCGGAGUCUGUAACCUGAAGCAUAUGUAACCUGAAGCGUAUGUAACCCGAGGUACCACUGUAUAUAAAAACAUAAUAAAACUACAGUGGUGCCUCGCAAGAUGAAAUUAAUCCGUUCCGCGAGUCUCUUCGUCUUGCGGUUUUUUCGUCUUGCGAAGCACGGCUAUUAGCGGCUAUUAACGGCUUAGCGGCUAUUAACGGCUUAGCGGCUUUAAGAAAAAGGAAACAGCUUAAGAACUAUCGCCCUAUAUCGUUACUUAAUGUGGAUUACAAAAUUUUUGCAGACAUUUUGGCCAAGAGAUUGAAAAAAAUAUUGAUGAAAGAGAUUCAUAAAGACCAAGCGGGCUUUCUCCCGGGAAGACAUCUGUCUGAUAACUUGAGGAAUAUAAUUGAUAUUUUGGAAAAAUUAGAAGUGAAUAUAAACACCAAAGCAGUAUUGAUAUUUGUUGACGCGGAGAAAGCUUUUGAUAAUAUCUCUUGGAGUUUUAUGAAGAAGAAUCUGCAUGGGAUGGGGGUAGGCCAAGGUUUUGAAAAUGGUAUAGGUGCAAUAUACUCUGAACAAAAGGCUAAAUUAAUUGUAAAUAAUGUGGUUACGGAAGAAUUUAAGAUAGAAAAGGGACACGACAGGGUGCCCAAUUUCCCCUCUGCUUUUAUAUCGGUCCUGGAGGUUUUGCUAAAUAUGAUUAGAAAGGACCGGUUGGUUAAGGGCAUACAGGUCGGAGCUAAACAGUACAAAUUGAGAGCAUUUGCAGAUGACCUAGUAUUGACGUUACAGGAGCCAGAAUCUAGUACUAAAAGAGUUUUAGAAUUAAUUCAGGAAUUUGGUCAGGUGGCAGGUUUUAAAUUGAACAAGUUAAAAACUAGAGAGGUUUCAGAAUGAGACAGGAUUGAAUGUGGUAAAGAAAGUGAAAUACUUGGGGAUUAAUAUGACAGCCAAAAAUGGGAACUUAUUUAAAGAUAAUUACGAAAAAUGUUGGACGGAAGUGAAAAAGAUUUAGAAAUUUGGUCAAAUUUGAAACUCUCGUUGCUGGGCCGUAUUGCUGUGAUAAAGAUGAAUGUAUUGCCUAGAAUGUUGUUUUGUUUCAGACAUUACAAAUUGUAGAUAAGAUGGACUGUUUCAAGAAGUGGCAGAGAGAUAUUUCUAGAUUUGUCUGGCAGGGCAAGAAGCCCAGAAUAAAAUUUAAGAUAUUAACUGACGCCAAGGAAACAGGUGGAUUUGCCCUGCCAGACCUUAAACUUUAUUAUGAAUCAGCAGCUUUUUGCUGGCUGAAAGAAUGGCUACUUCUUGAAAACACAGACAUUUUGGAUUUAGAAGGUUUUAACAAUGUAUUUGGAUGGCAUGCAUAUUUAUGGUAUGAUAAGGUCAAAGCACACAAAGCAUUCAAAAAUCAUAUUGUUAGGAAAGCAUUGUUUAAUGUCUGGAUAAGAUACAAAGACUUAUUGGAAAAUAAAACCCCAAGGUGGCUGUCACCAAUGGAAGCAAAAGCUCUGAAAAGGCUCAAUAUGGAGGCCAAAUGGCCGACAUAUUGGGAAAUUUUGGAGCAAGAAGGAGAUAAAUUGAGACUGCAGAGUUUUGAAAAAUUAAAAAUAAAGUGAGAGAUUGGCUCCACUACUAUCAGAUAAUGGAGGCAUAUAACUUGGAUAAGAAAAUAGGCUUCCAAGUGGAAAAGUCAAAAUUAGAAACAGAAUUGUUAGAACCCAAAACUAAAAAUUUGUCAAGAAUGUAUAACUUGCUGUUGAAAUGGAAUACUCAGGAUGAAACGGUGAAAUCUGCUAUGAUUAAAUGGGCACAAGAUGUUGGACAUAACAUUAUGUUCGCUGACUGGGAACAGUUAUGGACCACAGGUAUGAAGUUUACGGCAUGUAAUGCCUUAAGAGAGAAUAUUAUGAAAAUGAUAUACAGGUGGUACAUGACCCCAGUCAAGCUUGCAAAAAUUUAUCAUUUGCCCAAUAAUAAAUGUUGGAAAUGUAAAGAAACUGAAGGUACAUUCUUUCACCUUUGGUGGACGUGCCCAAAGAUUAAGGCUUUCUGGGAAAUGAUAUAUAAUGAACUGAAAAAGGUAUUUAAAUAUACCUUUCUGAAGAAACCAGAGGCCUUUCUCUUGGGCAUUGUCGGCCAACUGGUGCCAAAGAAGGACAGAACCUUUUUCAUGUAUGCUACAACAGCAGCAAGAAUACUUAUCGCAAAGUAUUGGAAGACACAAGAUCUACCCACUUUGGAAGAAUGGCAGAUGAAGGUGAUUGACUACAUGGAAUUGGCGGAAAUGACUGGCAGAAUCCGAGACCAGGGAGAAGAGUCGGUGAAAGAAGACUGGAAAAAAUUUAAGGACUAUUUACAGAAAUAUUGUAAAAUUAAGGAACUUUAGAAGGAUGUUGGAUAGAAAUUAAGAGGUUUUUAGCUGUAAUGCUUUAAGAGACAUGAAAAAAAUGGUUAACAAUUGGGUAAAAGAUUAAUGGUAAGGAUUUGCUGAACCAACAAACUGAAUUGGAAUACAAAGAAGGGAGGUAUGAGGAAGUCUGGGGAAAUAAGAGUAAGGAAGAUAGGUUAUGGAACAUUAUUGUGUUUUUAACUGUUUUAUUUUGUAUGUUUUUUCUUACUUUUUACUUUUUUGCUGUAAUUUAUACUUUUUUCUUUGUUUUCUGUAUUUUGUGAAACUUUAAUAAAUAUCUUUAAAAAAAAAAGAAAAGAAAAAGGAAACAAACUCGCAAGAACUCGCAAGACGUUUCGUCUUGCGAAGCAAGCCCAUAGGGAAAUUCGUCUUGCG